UUGAUUUGUGUCACCCAUGUGACCCGUUAGAUGACACAUGUCAACUUGGUCUUGUUUGUAGUUCGGAAACGUACAGAUGUGAAUGUCCUGAUGACGAAGUUCAAGUAGCAAAUAAUUGCUAUGGGACGCAUGUUGGAGAUUCGUGUACAACUGCGCCGGACACAUGUAUUGAUGACAAUGCUGGAUGUAAUGGGACAAUUUGCGACUGUCUAGCUGGUUACGGUUGGAACGGUUCCGUUUGCCUUGGUACCGAACUGUGUGAUCCAUGUGACACUGCAGUCAACACGUGUUCCCAAGACUUGGAAUGCAACCCAGCCACUUACAGAUGUGAAUGUCCCACAGGCGAAGUACAAAUAGGAGAUGACUGUU